rnacentral:piRNA from 1 species
UAAAAAGUCAUUCCGAGUCGG